CCUCAGUCCAACUUCUCACAAUGAGGCUCCCUGCUCAGCUCCUGGGGCUGCUGGUGCUCUGGGUCCCUGGGUCCUGUGAAGAUACUGUGAUGACCCAGACCCCACUCUCCCUGUCUGUCACCCCUGGAGAGUCGGCCUCCAUCUCCUGCAGGGCUAGUCAGAGUCUCCUGCACAGUGAUGGAAAUACCUAUUUGAAUUGGUUUUUGCAGAAGCCCGGCCAGUCGCCCCGUCUCCUGAUUUAUAAGGUUUCCAACCGGGACUCUGGUGUCCCAGACAGGUUCAGUGGCAGUGGGUCAGGGUCAGAUUUCACACUGAAGAUCAGCAGGGUGCAGCCUGAGGAUGCUGGAGUUUAUUACUGUGGGCAAGGCUCAUGGUUUCCUCCCACAGUGGUACAGCCCCGAACACAAACCUCCCUGCUGGGUGGCCCCACUCCACACCAGUGUUGUUUGCCUGAUGAGCAGGCACCAUGGCAUGAGUUGUGGGGAACGUCGGGGAACAGGCUGCAGGUGGCUGCUGUGGACUAUGAGGGCCACAGCUGCGUCUCAGACAACACACAUAGGACCUGUCGGCUGUGA